CUGACCUCUUAUCACGAAUGUCAUCUCGUUCACCGGAUCCCCUUCUCGAACCAAAUAUUGGCCUUUCGUGCUUAACGAUUGAACUAGGUGUUCACAUAUCACGUGUAGAAGCUGAUCAUCAUCCAUCUGCGAGAAGAAAGCCAUAGAUUGGAGUUUGGUUGCUUACGUGGCUAGCGAGCAUAUACAGCAUGAUGUAGUAAGCGGCCCCCGCCCAUGCGGUUUUGGCAAUUACACCCGUAGUUUUUGUAAUGCGUUGAUUUAAAGGAAAUAUGACAAAUAAUCGUGGGAUAUAUUGAAGGAUGAUAACCAGAGAAAUCGAAUGGUUGGCGUGAGCUGCUGUAGGACUUCUCACAGCUGGAAUCACAAACCAAAUGAAAAGCUGCAAAAAUCAAAAAUCAUGGUGAUUAACCAAUUGUUACAAUAUAAAAAUUAAAGAAAAUGGAGAAUAUGAAAUUAUGAAUGAACCUGAGGCAAUGGGAGAGCAGCAGCAAAAUCAACAGAAAAACCAGUUCUUAAGUAGCGUAAAGCAAUUUUGCGUGGAUCCAUAACAAGAUCACCUCUCCCAAAAACCCUUGAAUUUGGGGCAAUAUAAGCUGUUCGGAACUUGAUAAAAAUAUGGAUAAAGGAGAUUACGUCAAUGAGAGAACGCCAAACAGUGAUGAUUGCUGCAAAACCAUAAUCAGAUCGCAUACAGUAUUUCUCCUUUGAGAUCUCUGGUACAAGAAAGUAAAGUGGAUCAACGAAAAGGGCCAUGAGGCAGGUGAUUAGAAACAUGUGGUUCCAUCUGGAAAUGAACUGGCCACCUGGAUCGAAGAUCUGGGUCCACCAUGACGCUUUUUGGUUAUUGGCUGUGAUUAAAUUGCUUGUUGUGGUUUUCGGGAUGCUACUGGUGGAUGAAAGACGAAUGUAUUUCAUUUUGUUCAUGAUUCCUUCAGAAUAUUUCAAAAUCUGUGUUCAAUUCGAUGGAGAAAUAAGAAACUUUGAUUGGAGAAGAAGGGGGAGAAAUUAACGGCAACACAUUGCAAAGCGCGAAUUAAUAAGACAAGUUUGAAACCAGUGGAUGAAAAAAGACGAAUUAGGUAAUUAGCCACAAGGAUGGUGUUCAUUGGAUGAGUUUUCGAUUUUCUUGGUUUGAUUUUCUUUUUAAGUUUUAAUCCAUGCCAUCAAACCAGUUUGAAUUCGUUAUUCAUGAAACUUAAAUCACAGUUGAAUUCUAACUGUAUCGACUCGGUUUCAAUUGAAAAAAAUUUAUGUAUUUUCAAAGUAGAGAGUAAAUUACACGAAUGGUCCCUAUGGUUUAGGGUAAUUUGCAUGUUUGCUCUCUAACUUAUCUUUUGAACUGGAAAGGUCCCUACAGUUUGUUUUUGUUGCACGCUUGGUCUCUGCUAUCUAAAAAGAAUAUUUUUCCCUUUAUUUUUUAAUUUAUUUAAAGAAGGUGAGGUAAGUAAGAUAAGAUAAAAUAAGGUGAGGUGGAAGUGGAAUUAAGAUUAGGGUGUAUUUAUUUAAGUAAAUUAAAAAAUCAAUGCCAAAAUGUUUUUUAUAGAUAAGACAGAGACCAAGCGGGUAACAAAAACAACCGGUAGAGACCUUCCGAGUUAAAAAAAUAAAUUAGGGUCAAACAUGCAAACUACCCCAAACCAUAGGGACCGUUCGUGUAAUUUACACCAAAAUAUAUUGCUUGUCUUUUUUUACUUGAAAAAUAUAAUAAUUAUAAAAAAGUUUAUAAUUAAUUAAGGGAUAUCUAUAUCAAACGGUCUAGUUUUUUUUCCUUUGGAUCACUAAAAAAAAUUGUUUGGAUCAAACUGAAUUAAACAAAAACACUUAAAAUUAAAUUCAAAUUUUACAAAUCAUGAAAACCAAAAUUAGAUUCAAAUUUUGCAAAGUGGGCUUCUUUUAUUUUGGGAAAACCACUCUAAAACCCUAUGUAUUUUACCUCAAUGCCUAAAUAAGUCAUUAUAUUUAUUUUAUGUCCAUUUUAACCCUUAUUAAUAUCAAAACCGUCUAACCUCUCUAAUUUAUCUGGUAAACCCUAUAUACGUUUUUUAUCACUGUAAGGGAAAACCCUUCGUCAUUUAUAGGCUGCCAUCGAACAUACUGAAAAAAAGAAAGGAAGCAUGCUCGAGAAUAAAUCUUUGUCGAUCAGGGGAAGCUUCACGAAAACAAGGAUCCUCCAUGUAAGGAAGUUAGACAAGCCAUUGAAGACUGCAGAGCAGUUGGGAUUCAAGUGAUUGUGAUAACAUGAGAUAACAAGAACACAACUGAAGCAAUAUGUCGUGAAAUUGGUGUAUUUGCUCAACAUGAAGACAUCAGUUCAAAAAGCUUAACUGUUAUGUAUUGGGGUGAUUGCAGUGCACACACGAUAGUAGUCGUUAACAAAAAUGCAACCUGUAAUGUGUUUGAUUCAUUCGCAACUGUUUCUUUUAUUUGGUCAAUUUAAGUUUCUUUCUAUUUAGUUUUGUUUGGUUUGGACAAAAACAUGUAAAUAUACUUAAUUUUCGGUUCA